rnacentral:rRNA from 1 species
UACGUAGGGUCCGAGCGUUAAUCGGAAUUACUGGGCGUAAAGCGUGCGCAGGCGGUUUUGUAAGCCCGAUGUGAAAUCCCCGGGCUCAACCUGGGAACUGCAUUUGGGACUGCAAGGCUUGAGUACGGCAGAGGGGGGUAGAAUUCCUGGUGUAGCAGUGAAAUGCGUAGAUAUCAGGAGGAAUACCGAUGGCGAAGGCAGCCCCCUGGGUCGAUACUGACGCUCAUGCACGAAAGCGUGGGGAGCAAACAGG